rnacentral:rRNA from 1 species
UGACCUCAAAUCAGGA